CGGAGCAGCCGCAGCUCGCACGCAGAGGACGCCCGGAGCCGGGAGCAGGCAGCCGGCGGGCACACGGACCGACGGACUCGCGCCGCGUCCACCUGUCGACCGGGCCGCGCCGAGCGCGCAGCGGGCACGCCGCGCGCGCGUUGCCGCCGUGCCCGCCGCCCGGGCCCCGCGCCAGGGCGCACACGCUCCCGCCCCCCCUCCCCCCCUCCCCGCCCCGGCCCGGGCGGGAGUUUGCACCUCUCCCGGCCUGGGUGCUCCGGCCGCCGCUGCAAAGCCAACUUUGGAAAAAGUUUUUUCGGGGAGACUCGGGCUUUGAGGUGCCGGCCCUGCGCUUUCCGAUUUGGGCGACCUCUCCAGAAGAUGUUGCAAAAAAGCUAGGCCGGAGGGCAGAGGAAAACGCCUGUAGCCGGCGAGGGAAGACGAACCAUCGAGUGCCGCGUUCCUUCUCUAGGAGGUUGGAGUCCCCGGGGCGCCCCCACACGGCUAGACGCCUCGGCUCGGAUCGCGACGCAGCCCCCCGGCCGUGGAUGCUCGCGCGGGCUCGGGAUCCGCCCAGGUAGCGGCCUCGGACCCAGGUCCCGCGCCCAGGUCCUCCCCAGCCCCCCAGCGACGGAGCCCGGGGG
rnacentral:other from 1 species